UAGCUACAGUAUAUUAUUUUCGUAAUGUUGUCAUCUCUAACAAAAUUCAGAGUUUGUGUUGUGAUUUGGUAAAGCAGGAUUUUUACAGACAACAUCUCUGUGCUCUCCAAAGUAUGAUUCAUCUUUUAAAGAGUAUAAAGUGAUAACUUUGUAGAUUCUCGUCUUCAAAUAAUGUUUAGAUGGAGGUUAUUUCUAUGUUUUUCUGGGUUGGGUUGAAAAGAAUGGCUUUGAAAGUUCAACGUUAAUGUGAGAGGUUGACCAAAAGUGCUGAGAAGAAACUCCCACAGUAUAAACAGACAAGGGAAGCAGAAGUGCGGGAAAGUAGACAAUUUCACCUCCUCAACAACAGAGAGUAUUUUUUAAGUAUUCUCAUUUUAAGAUUACCAUCAUCAUCAUGGGAGCAAAGGGAAAUCUGAUUGCAGGACUCAAAAAGGAGUUAGAAAAACGUCCAGUUGUGUCGAACUUGAUUUUUGGCUUCAUCAUGACCGGCGUGGAGAAGAUGUUGGAGGUGGAUUUUGCUUGCCCUUGUAAUCCCACUUGGAACGGUGCGUUUGUUGCCCCAUUUUUCCUUCUUCCUGCCUGCACAGCUUCUUCACUCAUGCUGCUGAUUCACGGCUGCAGUGGGUAUGAGAGUGUUUUGUGUAGCUUUCUCCCUCCCAUUGUGUGGCUGGCUCUGAUGUUCCUGGAUGGACAAUACCUGGUCUGUGCAAUGACAGGCUGGCCAGGCACGUUUGUUACUGCCCAAAAUACUUACCUGAAAUGGUGUAAACCGAUCAAUGCAGCAAACCAUGCAACAAUGCUGAAUCAAUCACACAGGUUCUACAUUCUUUCUCAGGGUUUCGGAAAUUGCAUCGUCGCAUUUUUACUCGUCGUACUGAUUGCAUAUAUGGUAUGCACAAGAGGCAAGAGGGAAAAAGAUGAGAAGAAUCCUGAAACCAUCUCCCUUAAAUAAUCACCAAAGACCCAAAAGAGACACAAAUGACAAAAUGUUUUGUUUUACUAUGUAAAUAUUGAAAUGAUAUUAAUAUGCUAUGAUAUAGAGCCCGGCCGAUUAAUCGGCCGAUAUUAGCGUAUUCAGUGACUAUCAGAAUUGGCUAAUGUUAUCGCAGAUAUGCGACAGUGUGUGUGUGUGUGUGUGUGUGUGUAGGGAUGUAAUAAAUUACAUUCAUUACGUUCAUAAUUUACAUUAUUCUACUUAUCUACGCUUUCAAAUGUUCAUUUUCUAAGAAAGAAAUAACAUUGUAAUUGAUUUUUGCUUUGAUACUUUUGAUUUUUUAAAUAUGAUGUCUGUGUCUCAAAAUAAUGUGUUUGAUCAUAUAGUGUAAUGUGUAAACUUCCAUUAAAAAUAAAAUAAAAUAUUAACUGCUCUAA